UACCCUACGGGAGGCAGCAGUGGGGAAUAUUGCACAAUGGGGGAAACCCUGAUGCAGCGACGCCGCGUGAGUGAAGAAGUAAUUCGGUAUGUAAAGCCCUAUCAGCAGGGAAGAAGAUGACAGUACCUGACUAAGAAGCCCCGGCUAACUACGUGCCAGCAGCCGCGGUAAUACGUAGGGGGCAAGCGUUAUCCGGAUUUACUGGGUGUAAAGGGAGCGCAGGUGGCAAGGCAAGCCGGAAGUGAAAACCCGGGGCUUAACCCCGCGGAUUGCUUUUGGAACUGUCUGGCUGGAGUGCAGGAGGG
rnacentral:rRNA from 1 species